UCAAGUUAUUAAGGGUGCAGGGCGGAUGCCUUGGCACUAGGAGCCGAUGAAGGACGUGAUAAGCUGCGAUAAGCUUCGGGGAGUUGCACGUAAACUUUGAUCCGAAGAUUUCCGAAUGAGGAAACUCACUUAGAGUAAUGUCUAAGUAUCAUUAAGUGAAUACAUAGCUUAAUGAGGGGAACUCAGGGAACUGAAACAUCUAAGUACCUGAAGGAAGAGAAAGAAAUUCGAUUCCGUAAGUAGCGGCGAGCGAACGCGGAUUAGCCCAAACCAAUAAAGUUUUCUUUAUUGGGGUUGCGGACAUAUCAUAACGAAGAGGUAUCGUAAUUGAAGAGGUUUGGAAAGACCCACCACAGAAGGUAAUAGUCCUGUAUGUUAAACGAGAAGACUUCAGAUAUGAUCCAGAGUACCACGGGACACGUGAAACCCUGUGGGAAGCAGGAGGGACCACCCUCCAAGGCUAAAUACUACCUAGUGACCGAUAGCGUAUAGUACCGUGAGGGAAAGGUGAAAAGAACCCCGGGAGGGGAGUGAAAUAGAACCUGAAACCCUGCACUUACAAGCUGUGGAAGCACAUUUCUUGUGUGACCGCGUACUUUUUGUAGAACGGGCCAACGAGUUACGUUAAGUAGCAAGGUUAAGCACUUAAGGUGCGGAGCCGUAGCGAAAGCGAGUUUUAACUGAGCGUUCAGUUACUUGACGUAGACCCGAAACCGGGCGACCUACCCAUGAGCAGGAUGAAGCGAAAGUAAAAUUUCGUGGAGGUCCGAACCCACGAGCGUUGAAAAGCUCGGGGAUGACUUGUGGGUAGCGGUGAAAUUCCAAUCGAGCCCGGAGAUAGCUGGUUCUCCCCGAAAUAGCUUUAGGGCUAGCCUCAAGGUGAGAGAUACGGAGGUAGAGCACUGAAUGUCCUAGGGGGUAUUGCACCUACCGAAGACUAUUAAACUCCGAAUGCCGUCAUCUUAUACUUGGGAGUCAGACUGUGGGUGAUAAGAUUCAUAGUCGAAAGGGCAACAGCCCAGAUCGUCAGCUAAGGUCCCUAAAUGUAAGUUAAGUGGUAAAGGAUGUGGGAUUGCACAGACAACCAGGAUGUUGGCUUAGAAGCAGCCACUCAUUCAAAGAGUGCGUAAUAGCUCACUGGUCGAGUGAUCCUGCGCCGAAGAUUUCCGGGGCUAAAACUUACUACCGAAGCUACGGCAUCAGUAAUGAUGGGUAGGGGAGCUUCCCAUACGGGUUGAAGCAUGACCGUAAGGACAUGUGGACAGUAUGGGAGUGAGAAUGUUGGCAUGAGUAGCGAGAUGUGGGUGAGAAUCCCACAGGCCGUAAACCCAAGGUUUCCAGGGGAAGGUUCGUCCGCCCUGGGUUAGUCGGGACCUAAGCUGAGGCCGAAAGGCGUAGGUGAUGGACAACAGGUUGAUAUUCCUGUACUACCGAUAACCGUUUGAGAGAAGGGAUGACACAGUAGGAUAAGCUAAGCACACUGUUGGUUAUGUGUGCCCAAGCAUUGAGGCAGUCAAAGUAGGCAAAUCCGCUUUGAUAAUGCUGGGAUGUGAUGGGGAGCGAAAUUUAGUAGCGAAGUAGCUGAUUUCACACUGUCAAGAAAAGUCUCUAUCGAGGUUAAAGGUACCCGUACCGCAAACCGACACAGGUGGGUGAGGAGAGUAUCCUAAGGCCAGCGAGAGAACUGUUGUUAAGGAACUCGGCAAAAUGACCCCGUAACUUAGGGAUAAGGGGUGCCACCAUCAGGUGGCCGCAGAGAAUAGGCCCAAGCGACUGUUUACCAAAAACAUAGGUUUCUGCUAAGUCGCAAGACGAUGUAUAGGAGCUGACGCCUGCCCGGUGCUGGAAGGUUAAGGGGAUCUGUUAGAGCAAUCGAAGCAGUGAACUUAAGCCCCAGUAAACGGCGGCCGUAACUAUAACGGUCCUAAGGUAGCGAAAUUCCUUGUCGGGUAAGUUCCGACCCGCACGAAAGGCGUAACGAUUUGGGCACUGUCUCAACAACAGACUCGGUGAAAUUGUAAUUCCGGUGAAGAUGCCGGAUACCUGCGACAGGACGGAAAGACCCCAUGGAGCUUUACUGUAGCUUGACAUUGGGUCUUGGUACUACAUGUACAGGAUAGGUGGGAGGCUUUGAAACCAGGACGCCAGUUUUGGCGGAGCCAUCCUUGGGAUACCACCCUUGUAGUACUGGGACUCUAACCAUAGGCCAUGAAUCUGGUCUUGGGACACUGUCAGGUGGGCAGUUUGACUGGGGCGGUCGCCUCCCAAAAGGUAACGGAGGCGCUCAAAGGU
rnacentral:rRNA from 1 species